CAGAACGAACGCUGGCGGCGCGUCUUAAGCAUGCAAGUCGAGCGGCAAGCAUCAGCAAUGGUGCCUAGAGCGGCGGACUGGUGAGUAACGCGUGGGUGACCUGCCUUGAGGACGGGGAUAGCCGUUAGAAAUAGCGGGUAAUACCGGAUACGUUUGCGGAGCUGUGGCUCUGCAAGGAAAGGGGCUUUGGCCCCGCCUUGAGAUGGGCCCGCGUUCCAUUAGCUUGUUGGUGAGGUAACGGCCCACCAAGGCGAUGAUGGGUAGCCGGCCUGAGAGGGUGAACGGCCACAUUGGGACUGAGAUACGGCCCAAACUCCUACGGGAGGCAGCAGCUAAGAAUAUUCCGCAAUGGACGAAAGUCUGACGGAGCGACGCCGCGUGGAUGACGAAGGCCGAAAGGUUGUAAAAUUCUUUUGCCGGCGAAGAAUAAGGCGGGGAGGGAAUGCCCUGCCGAUGACGUAG
rnacentral:rRNA from 1 species